AAGGUCAAAAGGACAAAUAUCUUGGUACCAGUAGAAAGAUCUUGUCACAAGAAAUGCUCAUGUACAAUAUGAAAGCUCUAAUAUUUACCAUUUAGAAGUUAUGACCUACAUGUAAAAAAAAAAUGAAAAGUAGGUCAAAUGUCAAGGUCAAAAGGUUUAGUACCAACGGAAAGGUCUCGUCACAAAAAAUACUCAUGUGAAAUACCAAAGCUUUAUCACUUACUGUUAAUAGGUUAUAAGCAAGGUUAAAAUUUUCAAAAAGUAGAUUAAACGUCAAGGUCACUGGGUCAAUAAUGUUGGUAGCCACAGAAAGGUCUUGUCACAAGGAAUACUCAUGUGAAAUAUCAAAGCUCUAUCUCUUACUGUUCAAAAGUUAUUAGCAAGGUUAAAGUUUUCAAAAAGUAGGUCAAACUCCAAGGUCACAGGGUCAAUAAUGUUGGUACCCACGGAAAGGUCUUAAUUGUCACAAGGAAUACUCAUGUGAAAUAUCAAAGCUCUAUCUGUUACUGUUCAAAAGUUAUUAGCAAGGUUAAAGUUUUCAAAAUGUAGAUUAAACUCCAAGGUCACUGGGUCAAUAAUGUUGGUACCCACGGAAAGGUCUUGUCACAAGGAAUAGGGUCGGAAAGUCUCGUCAUGAGACUCGCGAGAAAUAACGUGAAAUCGUACUUCCGGGCAGUUGUCAGGAUGGCAUUAUCAAUAAUGUACUAGACUCGCUACGUUCAAAACCACAUAGAGCUUUCUACAAAAAGCGAGAGAGCGGUGGAUAACAACUGGGUUUGGAAAUUUGUUCUAGAUAGAGCUCUGAGUUAUUACAGCAGUUGUUCAAGCGUCAAUACGAGACAUUUUCCAACAAAGUACAGAUAUAAAAGGGCAAACAAUACAGCUGGAUAAAGCAUCCUAAGUCUGCACCUCGUAAAGCUAUGACAAUGAGAGAAAUGUAUCCACCCAGGCAAUCAGAAUAUAGAGUGCAACCCGGAAGGUGCGCAGCAGCUCAAAGAGAGCCAUGGUUAUUGGCAUCAAGUUCUCCAUCAGCUUUACCUCACAGGCACCACUUGUGAUUUCAAUGUUUGAACACCAAUGAACAUGGAAGUGAUUCUCAUCCUUCGAGAUGAAUUAUGGGAACUGUACUUGGCAUACAUGAUUGAGCCUUUGUGCCCUCUCUGCAAUAACCAACUAGACAAACUUGUGAAAAUUCAAAUGUCUUCCAUUAGUUUUAUUUUGUUUUUGCUACAAUUGAUCAGUGUAAAGAUGUGCAUGAAUCAUCAUUGUAACAAUUUCUUUGACUAUUAACCUUAAAUAAAUGUUCACUUUAUCA